UACAGAGGGGGCAAGCGUUAUUCGGAAUUAUUGGGCGUAAAGGGCGCGUAGGCGGCCUGACAAGUGGAAGGUGAAAUCCCUCGGCUCAACUGAGGAACUGCCCUCCAAACUGUUUGGCUUGAGACCGGGAGAGGUGAGUGGAAUUCCCAGUGUAGCGGUGAAAUGCGUAGAUAUUGGGAGGAACACCAGUGGCGAAGGCGGCUCACUGGACCGGUACUGACGCUGAUGCGCGAAAGCGUGGGGAGCAAACAGG
rnacentral:rRNA from 1 species